rnacentral:snoRNA from 1 species
CCCCCCUCAGGGUGGCACCUGGAGAGUUUCCAGGACUCUACCAGUCUCAGCUAUGGGAGGAAGAGUCAAGCAGAGGCCUACCCAUUCCAUUCCUAGUUUCGCCACUGGCUAGUGAGUGGAAGGCUAUUUGCUACAAGU